rnacentral:rRNA from 1 species
CGGUUAAGCUACUAAGAGCACACGGAGGAUGCCUAGGCGCUAGGAGCCGAUGAAGGACGUGGCGAACAACGAAACUGCCUCGGGGAGCUGUAAGCAAGCUUUGAUCCGGGGAUGUCCGAAUGGGGAAACCCAGCUGGGGUAAUAUCCAGUUACUCUUGUCUGAAUACAUAGGGCAAGCAGAGGCAUACCAGGGGAACUGAAACAUCUAAGUACCCUGAGGAAGAGAAAACAAUAGUGAUUCCGUCAGUAGCGGCGAGCGAACGCGGAGAAGCCCAAACCAGAGAGCUUGCUCUUUGGGGUUGUGGGACGUCUCACAUGGAGUUACAAAGGAGCCGGUUAAACGAAGAGGUCUGGAAAGGCCCGCCAAAGAAGGUAAAAGCCCUGUAAUUGAAAGUCGGCUCUCUCCGAGACGGAUCCCGAGUAGUGCGGGGCACGUGAAACCCCGUAUGAAUCCGGCAGGACCAUCUGCCAAGGCUAAAUACUUCCUAGCGACCGAUAGUGAAGCAGUACCGUGAGGGAAAGGUGAAAAGCACCCCGGAAGGGGAGUGAAAUAGAACCUGAAACCGUGUGCUUACAAAAAGUCAGAGCCCGUUUUAGGGGUGAUGGCGUGCCUUUUGUAGAAUGAACCGGCGAGUUACGUUCCCGUGCAAGGUUAAGGUGAAGAGCCGGAGCCGCAGCGAAAGCGAGUCUGAAUAGGGCGAAGUAGUACGUGGACGUAGACCCGAAACCGGGUGAUCUACCCCUGUCCAGGGUGAAGGUGCGGUAACACGCACUGGAGGCCCGAACCCACGCACGUUGAAAAGUGCGGGGAUGAGGUGGGGGUAGCGGAGAAAUUCCAAUCGAACUCGGAGAUAGCUGGUUCUCCCCGAAAUAGCUUUAGGGCUAGCCUCGGAAAACAGAGUCGUGGAGGUAGAGCACUGAUUGGGUGCGGGGCCCGCAAGGGUUACCAAGCUCAGUCAAACUCCGAAUGCCAUAGACUUACUUCCGGGAGUCAGACAGUGAGUGCUAAGAUCCAUUGUCAAAAGGGAAACAGCCCAGACCAUCAGCUAAGGUCCCCAAGUGUGUGUUAAGUGGGAAAGGAUGUGGAGUUGCACAGACAACCAGGAUGUUGGCUUAGAAGCAGCCACCAUUGAAAGAGUGCGUAAUAGCUCACUGGUCGAGUGACUCUGCGCCGAAAAUGUAACGGGGCUAAACACACCACCGAAGCUAUGGCUUG